ensembl:lincRNA
CUGAACUAGAAAACUGAUGAAUUGUAAAGUAGACACUGUGACUGCUGGCUUCCAAAUUCUACUGCUUCUGUCACAAUAUGGGGCCCCAAAAUGGAUGCCCUGCACCCUGUCUCUCGCUCCAUGCAACUUCGAUCUGAAUGAAAGUCUUAUGACAUAGGAGGCUCUGCAACAGCAUAUUCUACAAAGAAAAAGAUAAAUGAGCAGAAUUCACUCUAAGAUUCGCCAUGGAUAUUUACUAGUCAACUUGAUGUCCCAAACCAUCUGCCUAUCUAACACAGCUGAUCUUAAGUCCACUGUUGGAUGCCCCUUAACCAAGGACUUAAGGCUCAAAUAUUUGAAGAACGCUGGAGUCAGGAGACCAGGAUUUCAGAUCUGAUUGACACUAACUAGAAUGGUAACUCAAUGACCUCUCCCAUUAUAAAGAAAUACUGACACCUCUAGUUUGUACAGGAAUAGCAACAUCUCUACAUUGUCAAUAUGAAGCCAUAUCUUUAAGAAAAGAAGACAAAUAUGUCAGGAAAACAUAGAAAAGCCAAGUGUGGAAGCUAAAAUCUGAAAAAAAUGAAAGGAUGCUAACACAGGGUCAUGCCUUCUGAGAGGUUUGUUAUCGAUUGAUGAGAGGUUGCAACACUGGAUACAGAAGAAAGUUUCUCAUCCAUAUGGAGGGGAGCCUGCUACUGCUUUUUUGAAAAAGAGAAAAGAGGUUUAAAGAAGAGGAUCAAACAAGAAAUAAACAAGAAAAAAACAAGAAGUGCAUCUUGCUUCAUAUAUUCCUGAAAAUUCCUAUAUAAUUGGAAUCUGUUUUUAAAGCCCAAGUAUAUUUGUCAUCUAGAAUAUCAUAGUAACCCUUAUGGUACAUUGUCAAGAAAGCAAAACUUCACAGGCAUACCUUCAUUUUUAAAAACAUUGAUAUAGACUUUCACAUUCAUAAUUAAUUUUGCUGAAAGUGGGGUCUCCCCAUAUUGCAAUGCAAUGGGGAUACUGGAGUUUUAAAACUUUAAGACUCAUUCGCAGCAGCAGCAAAGAAUAAAAAGAGAUACAAUCACUGAUGCUUCUACUCCUUCGACAGUUUUAGCCAGUUUUUUGAAGUAACCAUCUGUUUUCUUUCCUCUAGAUAAGUCUAACCUGCUUUAUAAACUUUUUUUCACUCUCACCUUCCCUCCUUUACCCCACCCAUUGCCAAUGUCCUUCUACCUGUGGCAUUUCACACUUGGGGAGAGCUGCUAAUGGUUGACAACAAAGGGACUGCUAAUCGCACCAAUUAAGAGGUGUGAAUGUCACUCGUUACCUUCCAGCUUUGCUACUGAACAUGUUAAUUACUAAUUGUACAGGUGCAGGCUUUUAAGUUCACAAGGUUAACAGUGAAGCACAGCUUUGUUUGAGCUGUUGGUUUAAAUAUUGAAAAAUCAUGGGUAAAGGGCUGAUCUCCAUUGAAGAAUGAACAGAUGCCAUUGCUGUACUUUCCCAGACGGAAAAUCUUUAGACUGAGUUAGCAAUAUAAUUGACCUUCAAGAAGUGAUUCUCUGUGGUGAAUCUACCAAAGAACAGGUGUUUGUGGUUCUCUUACUUUUCAAGGAGAAGCAGGGCACUUCCCUUAUGUCAUAAGACUAUGGAACUCUACCAGAAGGUCAGUUGAGGGUAAUCUGCAAGAAGUGUGUAGAGUUAAUUAAAAGAAAAUCCUCUGGAGAGACUUUUUGUAAGCUCAAGGUUUCUAUAUUCAUCUCUUUCUGAAAGCUUUACUCAUUCAUGAUUCAGUAUUAUAGAUAUGUCCUUUGGACUUCUUUUUUAAAAGUUUUGCCUAACAAAACACCUGGAGGAGGGAACCUGUUUCAGAAUCACAUACCUUCAACUUGAUGGGAAUCUCAAGAGAUCACACUGAGUGGCUUCCACUUAGAGAAGGUAACAAGACCACUUUACAGGGAAAGACAACAAAGGUCCAAGAUAUUAUACAACUCGCUCAAGGCCACUACAUCAAGAUUAAGUUGGAUUUGCAAAGUGAGUUAGAUUUUGGAAAAAGCUAACCUUCAAUUGUUCUCCAGGGGAAUGAGUAAUUACUAUGAGGAGCUGGUAAUUUUUAGCUUGUCCUCAGGCCUACUGAAAUAUCUUUGCUCUUUCCUGCAUCUGUAAGAGCAACUGUUGUUUUCAGUCAUUCAAGUAGAAAGUGUGCGGUAAGUGCCUCUUCUAUUUUUGUGGUAGACUCCACAACAAAUAAAGAAAGUCUCUCUGGGAAGCCCAAGGGUGGCUUCUUGGAACAUAAACUGCAAGAUUUUGAGAGUUAUUGUGCAAUAGAAAACCAGUUGAUGGAUUUGAGACCAGUGACCUGUGAGUACCAUGCUCCUUGCUCGUGAUGUAUCUCUCUGGUCAUCUGCCUGAUAGCAAGGGAUAAAAGUGGAGGUACUAUAGUAGAAUGCCUAGGAGUACAGGCUGCUCUCUAAACCUAGGGGGUAAAUCUAACGCUCCUUUAACCCAUGAUUAAAUGAAUGAAUGAACUCCAAAUUCUUCACAUGUGCUUGGCACAUUGUAAAUUCUCAAGAAAUCACUGCUAAACCUCUUAUCCAUGUAACCAAACACCACCUAUGCCCUCA